AGUCGAGCGGAUGAGAGGAGCUUGCUCCUGGAUUCAGCGGCGGACGGGUGAGUAAUGCCUAGGAAUCUGCCUGGUAGUGGGGGACAACGUUUCGAAAGGAACGCUAAUACCGCAUACGUCCUACGGGAGAAAGCAGGGGACCUUCGGGCCUUGCGCUAUCAGAUGAGCCUAGGUCGGAUUAGCUAGUUGGUGAGGUAAUGGCUCACCAAGGCGACGAUCCGUAACUGGUCUGAGAGGAUGAUCAGUCACACUGGAACUGAGACACGGUCCAGACUCCUACGGGAGGCAGCAGUGGGGAAUAUUGGACAAUGGGCGAAAGCCUGAUCCAGCCAUGCCGCGUGUGUGAAGAAGGUCUUCGGAUUGUAAAGCACUUUAAGUUGGGAGGAAGGGUUGUAGAUUAAUACUCUGCAAUUUUGACGUUACCGACAGAAUAAGCACCGGCUAACUCUGUGCCAGCAGCCGCGGUAAUACAGAGGGUGCAAGCGUUAAUCGGAAUUACUGGGCGUAAAGCGCGCGUAGGUGGUUCGUUAAGUUGGAUGUGAAAUCCCCGGGCUCAACCUGGGAACUGCAUUCAAAACUGUCGAGCUAGAGUAUGGUAGAGGGUGGUGGAAUUUCCUGUGUAGCGGUGAAAUGCGUAGAUAUAGGAAGGAACACCAGUGGCGAAGGCGACCACCUGGACU
rnacentral:rRNA from 1 species